AAUAGUAUAGCUGUCGUUCUCCUGCAUUAUUUUGGCCUUAUUGAGGUUCGGCCAAUCCCAGUAGUCGCGUUGACGUCAUUACGUUGUUCCCCUCAGCGCGCUGUGUUGUAAUUAGCGGCUGCAGCAUUCAGGCGUGCAGGAGCGGUGGGGAAGCCACACACGAGAGAGCUGCAGGAGCCCCUUAUCGUAGCCAAAUCAGAGACGGACGACGGAGUGAGAGAGUAGAUGCAAAUCGUGGAACUGGCCAGGUCCUUGAUUGAUGGCGAGCUUAAUGGAGCCCUGAACCUAAAGCAAAGCAACUGCUGAAGAAUUGAGUCGCAUCUCUCCUGCCAGGCUGGUAGGGGGCUCUUUGUGGCCCACAAACUCUCACCACUCAAAACCUUGAAUUGUCCGCCUUGCCCACAUACACUCUUUUUUUUUUCCACAAACCCCUCCCAUGCGCACUCUUCCUCCUGGACAAUCACAUUCAACCCAGACGUGGGCUACAUGAACUGUGGGUUGGGUUGGUACAUUGGGGUUAAUUUCCCAAGUGUGGGGAAUUUUGUGGACUCAUUUGUGCUUUGCAUUGACAUUCGAAUUGUAUAUCAAUGUUUCUGAGUCAUGUCCUGAAGUUGCAUAGUAAUGAAUUAUUUUGAAUAUUCAUUAUUGAAUGGCCAUUUAUGAGUUACUGUUGUUAUUCACUGUAAAUAUUUGCACUGUUGGCUGUCUUGUAUGUUUAAAGGAAUAUUUAAUAUAUGGUACCUGCAAACACAAAGUCAGCUUCCUGUCUACUCUCUCCUUGAGCCGAAUUUAGCCUUCUGAUUACUAGCCUAACGAACCUAACUACUUCUGGUGUUAGUAAACCAGUUCUUUACUACUUACCUACUACACAGGUGUUACAAUGGACAGACAUCUGAACAAACCCACCUGGCACUGGUUCAGAGGCCCGAGUGCUCAGAGGGUCCCUGGGCCACAACCAUUGAUGAGUCAAUCAACCAACAUCAAAAAGAUGCAACACAAUGACAAACAGAUGCAAAAUAAAGUCAAAGUGAAGCAGAAUAACAAACAAUGACAAUGACAAAAUGAUUAAGAGUUGCAAAAUUACUACAAAGAGAUACAAAUCAACCACAAAGACAAACAACUACAAGGAGGCAAAAAAUGACUAAAAGAAUCACAGUGAUAGUCACAACUACAAAGGAACAAAAAGCUUCUGGUCUCUUGCAAUUUUCAAUGUAACCUGGUGGUUUCUAUGUAGUUGUAAUGGUGAUUUUCUUAAUGAGAAACAGUGCUGGUAUGUCCAACACAUACCUCUAAUGCAGUUUUUUUUAGCGCAUAUCACAUUCACAAAGAUGUUGUACAUUAUGGUUAUAGCUUAAUGAGCAGCACAGUGGUGCAGCACUGUCACCUCAAAGGAACAGGAUUCAAGGUUUGAACCUGUUGGUCAGCUAGAGCCUUUCUGUGUGGAGUUUGCAUGUUCUACAUAUAGGUUUUCUCCAUGUGCUCUAGCUUCAUCUUAUUGUCCAGAGACGUGUGUGGUAGAGCAAUUUGUGAUUCUCAAUUGGCUGUGAGACUAAGCGGGAAUAGUCGUCUGUCUCUCUGUUACCCCUGUGAUUGACUGGCAACCUGUUCACAGUUUAUCCCCGCCUCUCGCCUAAUGUCAGUUUUGAUUUUUAUUCUGUUUGUCAAUUUAUUGGUCCAUGAGGUUGUUAAAAGUAAACUCUGACAAUCCUGUGAGCACAGCAAAAGAGCUCCUGCUUUACUUGUGUUUGUUCUGUUUAUGUUGAAAUUGGACAGGAUAAUUUGUUGUAGAGUGAUUUUCCUUCUUUAGCUCCUUAUUUCUGAUGCGGAUGGUGGGUUGUUUUGGAGAAACAGGUCAAAAUCAGUAGUCUCCAAAUAAGGUGAUUUAUUUCUGAUGAGAAAAAGAAAACACUGUUGUAGGCAGCAAAAUCUUCCUCUGGGCAUGGAGUCAGCGCCAUGGUAAAGUGACGCAAAAGGACCACUAAGAGACUCAAACAAGCCACAAAGAGAAGCAAAACAGAUGCAAAGACACAAACUUACUGUUAAGGAGCACAAAGGGACUGCAAUGGACCACCAUGAGAUGGAAAACAAUGCCACAAAAAGACACAAAAUUACCAGACAGGGAAGCAAAAAGAUAAAAAGAUGGAACCCAUCAACAUAGAAGAGAGAUACAUAAAGGAACAAACACAAGCAAUAGAAAAACUAAGAAAAAAUCAUUGCAGAGACAUGAAAGAACCGAUAAGUGAUGCAAAAUGACCACAAAGACACACAAAAUGCAUGUGGUCAUUUUUGUACUUUCAGUCUGGGUUUAUUGCUUCUAUAUAGGGAGUAUGAAAAACCUUUUAUCCAUCUGUGGCUCAUUGUGUCACAUCCCAUCCAUGUGGAGAGGUGAGAUACUGUGUGAAUUUCAAGCUGUGUUCGAUAGCAAUUACAGCCUCCCUGAAUAGCAGCAGACAGUUACAGUGCCGCAAACAUGUAUCACAAACAUCUCAUUGCCAACAGUGACACUAAUUUGUUGACAUGAAGUCAAUGGAACGGACACAUAUUAUGCUUCUUUAACUUGAUGGAGCGAACAAAGCAGCUUAAAAGCCAUUCAUCGUGCUGGCCAGAUGUGGUUUACUGUCAUUUCCUGUGUGAAGCUGUGUCAGUGGAAAAGAAACAAAAUUUAAAAAACAACAACAAUAACAGCAACAACAAAAAAGCUGGUACUUCACUCUUAGUUUCAGCCAUAAUUGCUCUCCUCACACUGUUGUGUACUACAAACACACAUACACAAACAGGCCCAUAUCCACAAACCCACAUGCUCGCCCUUGUAAUUCCAACAGGAUUUUUUUUGCCUCUUUGCAGUAUCUCAGCCACUGUUAUCUCUGCAUCCACAUGUUUCUCUGUCUCUCCCUCUUUCUGGGAUCAUUGGCUGUCUGUCAAAUGAUACCAAACCCGGGGAUCACACAAACACACAGAAAGGGAUCAAGGAUUUCUGGGGUUCGUGUUAAUCUGCAGCACUUGAGUCAGUCUGAUUUUCGGUGCAUUUGGUUUGGUGGUGCUGACGCUGUGAGUGGCUGGAUGGAUUGUGAGUAGCUGGGAAGGUUCAUUUGUCAGUCAGAGUGCAGAGUGUACUGAGAAUAGCAGUUGACUGACUAGAUGGAGAAAGAUCAACUGGGUGGCAAAUUCUCUUUCAGAGUGUGACUGACAUGGCUAUUAGGGAAGUGGACAAGCUGAUGGGGGAUGGACUUGCUGACUUUAUCGACUCCUUUAUUCGUUAUUCUUCAUUUUCCUAUAGAACUAAUACACUACCUGAGCAAGAGACUGUCUUAAUUAGAGGCUAAUCAAUAAACUUAUUCAUACUAUGAAGGAUGCAUUCAUGAUCUAUUCAGUAUUUCUUCCUGAAAUGCAUUUUUUGAUACUUGAAGGUUUACAAAUACAUUCAAUUGUACAUAUUGGCAAAACAAGUUUUUUGGAUGUCCUGUAAACCCACCAUACUUUACAUUCACCUUUGCUUGGAGACUUCCUUUCCCUUUGAUGUGUGUUAGCCAACAAUUGCUUAUCUACAUAACUAUCAGUAGAUACAGAUCAGCAUUAUCAUUCAAUAGGAGUCAAAUUUCUGGUCAUCUAAUGAAUUUAAGACCAGAUUCACAUUCUUUUUACCUUUUGAUUCCAUAAUGUUUACCAGUUCUUUUGCUACCUCAAUGCUAUUAUUGAUAACUUCAUUUUUCUACAGCUAAUGUCUACAAUUCUUCUAAAAAUCUGGUUCACUAAUUUGUGACAAGGAAUUCUUUCAAAAUGUCUGUCAAGCCUUAGUCUGCCUCUUUGGAUGUAAACUUCAGGUUUAAGCCUGCCAUUUCCUCCAUGCAUUUAUUGCAGGUCAGUACCUCAUUUCCACUAUCUGUAUGUUGCUGGUUUCAAAAUACCCAACAAAUACAACCACUGAGCAACAAGCUACAUGCUAAAAAAGAUUUAAGCUUUGCAGAAAAUGUGGAUUGUGCAGUAAG